UUGUGGAAUGAGCGGCGGACGGGUGAGUAACACGUCGGGCAACCUACCUUGUAGACUGGGAUAACUCCGGGAAACCGGAGCUAAUACGGGAUGAUCAUUUGAAUCGCAUGAUUGAAAUGUAAAAGUGGGGAGUAAUCCUCACACUAUGAGAUGGGCCCGCGGCGCAUUAGCUAGUUGGUAAGGUAAUGGCUUACCAAGGCAACGAUGCGUAGCCGACCUGAGAGGGUGAUCGGCCACACUGGAACUGAGACACGGUCCAGACUCCUACGGGAGGCAGCAGUAGGGAAUCAUCCGCAAUGGGCGAAAGCCUGACGGUGCAACGCCGCGUGAACGAUGAAGGUUUUCGGAUCGUAAAGUUCUGUUAUGAGGGAAGAACAAGUGCCGUUCGAAUAGGGCGGCACCUUGACGGUACCUCACGAGAAAGCCCCGGCUAACUACGUG
rnacentral:rRNA from 1 species